GAAAUGAACAGGGAUAAGCUCAGCAUGGAAAUUGGGGCCUCUGGCCUUGAAUUGUAGUCUUGAGAUGUGCUACCAACGGAGGCGCAGAUGUAAGCCUCUUGGAAAAGAGCGUCAGGGAGGGUGAGAGUCCCGUAUGUCAUCUGCAGUUCUCUGUGCACGGUACAUUUUCCAAGAGUCACGUUCCUCGGGAUUGGAGCGCAAAUUGGGUGGUAAAUUUCAUCUAAAGCUAAAUAUUGGUUCGAGACCGAUAGCAAACAAGUACCAUGAGGGAAAGGUGAAAAGGACUUUGAAAAGAGAGUUAAAAGUGCCUGAAAUUGCUGAAAGGGAAGCGAAUGGAACCAGUUGUUCUUGGCGAGUAUUGGUGUUGUCUAAAGUGAGGGCUUGCCACUUCAGCGCAAGUGUGGUGGCAGGUUUUGAUCUGGAUGCGAUACUGCAUCUCGCCUUGCAUGUCAACGUCAGUUCAUAAUUGAGGAAAACUCUAAGGACUUGGUAAUUUGCUUCCGGGUGACUGAAUGUCUCUAGUGGAACUCAUUUUUGAACUGCUUUUGUAUGUCUUGUUGCAAUGCUCUGCGUGCUUGCCUGUGAUCCGGUGCUUGCUCUGUUUGGCAUGGGGUUGCUGGUGCCUGGAGCAUGUC
rnacentral:rRNA from 1 species